CUCAUAGCGUAUAUUAAGUUGUUGCAGUUAAAACGCUCGUAGUCGGAUUUCGGGGCGGGCUGCUCGGUCUGCCGAUGGGUAUGCACUGGGCGGCGCGUCCUUCCUUCCGGAGACCGCGCCUUCUCUUAACUGAGCGGGCGCGGGAGACGGAACGUUUACUUUGAAAAAAUCAGAGUGUUUCAAGCAGGCAUCUCGCUCUUGCAUGGAUUAGCAUGGGAUAAUGAAAUAGGACUUUGGUGCUAUUUUGUUGGUUUCGAACACCGAAGUAAUGAUUAACAGAGACAGUCAGGGGCACUCGUAUUCCGUCGAGAGAGGUGAAAUUCUCAGACCAACGGAAGACGAACCACUGCGAAAGCAUUUGCCAGGGAUGUUUUCACUGAUCAAGAACGAAAGUUAGGGGAUCGAAGACGAUCAGAUACCGUCGUAGUCUUAACCAUAAACCAUGCCGACUAGGGAUUCGAGGGUGUUCCAUCUGUGACCCCUUGAGCACCUUUCGGGAAACUAAAGUCUUUGGGUUCCGGGGGGAGUAUGGUCGCAAGGCUGAAACUUAAAGGAAUUGACGGAAGGGCACCACCAGGAGUGGAGCCUGCGGCUUAAUUUGACUCAACACGGGGAAACUUACCAGGUCCAGACAUUGUGAGGAUUGACAGAUUGAGAGCUCUUUCUUGAUUCAAUGGGUGGUGGUGCAUGGCCGUUCU
rnacentral:rRNA from 1 species